rnacentral:rRNA from 1 species
AUUGAACGCUGGCGGCAUGCCUAACACAUGCAAGUCGAGCGAGCGGCGGACGGGUGAGUAAUGUCUUGGAAACUGCCUGAUGGAGGGGGAUAACUACUGGAAACGGUAGCUACUACCGCAUACCAUCAGAUGUGCCCAGAUGGGCUUAGCUAGUGGGUGGGGUAAUGGCUCACCUAGGCGACGAUCCCUAGCUGGUCUGAGAGGAUGACCGGCCAAACUGGAACUGAGACACGGCCCAGACGCCUACGGGAGGCAGCAGUGGGGAAUAUUGCACAAGGGGCGAAAGCCUGAUGCAGCAAUGCCGCGUGUGUGAAGAAGGCCUUCGGGUUGUAAAGCACUUUCAGCGAGGAGGCGUUACUCGAAGAAGAAGCACCGGCUAACUCCGUGCCAGCAGCCGCGGUAAUUC